GUGCCAGCCGCCGCGGUAAUACGGAGGGUGCGAGCGUUAUCCGGAUUCACUGGGUUUAAAGGGUGCGUAGGCGGGUCUGUUAAGUCCGUCGUGAAAUCCCCGGGCUUAACCCCGGGAACUGCGGUGGAUACUACGGGCCUUGAAUACUGCGGGGGCCAGCGGAAUAUGUCAUGUAGCGGUGAAAUGCAUAGAUAUGACAUAGAACACCGAUCGCGAAGGCAGCUGGCUACACAGUCAUUGACGCUGAGGCACGAAAGCGUGGGAUCAAACAGGAUUAGAUACCCUGGUAGUCCACGCCCUAACGAUGAUUACUCGACAUACGCGAUACACUGCGUGU
rnacentral:rRNA from 1 species